rnacentral:rRNA from 1 species
UACGUAGGGUGCGAGCGUUAAUCGGAAUUACUGGGCGUAAAGCGCGCGCAGGCGGUCUGUUAAGACCGAUGUGAAAUCCCCGGGCUUAACCUGGGAACUGCAUUGGUGACUGGCAGGCUUUGAGUGUGGCAGAGGGAGGUAGAAUUCCACGUGUAGCAGUGAAAUGCGUAGAGAUGUGGAGGAAUACCGAUGGCGAAGGCAGCCUCCUGGGCCAACACUGACGCUCAUGCGCGAAAGCGUGGGGAGCAAACAGG